AUUUUCCAAGUGUACCACAUUCUCUGUAAUCAUUCUAGUACCUAAUAAAUCAGGGGUAUAUUGUACAUCGAGGAUAAAAGACUUAACUCAACCUUCUCAAGUGUCAGCGCCCUCAAUACCAGAAAACUAGAACUUAACCUAACCUAGAUUCGUCAGCCACCACUCCGCCACCUAUCAAACAUCUUUUCGACUUUCCUAAAGAAGAGAAGACACCACAUUCACCGGUUACCGACUGAAAAACUUCGAAUUCUCGGCAACUUGUAAACUGACGGGAUAACUUUUCUAACCGUUUGAACGUUUCUAGCGGCGAAACUAAUUUUAGAGAAAAGAUCGGAGAGAGAAAUAGUGGAACGAGACGAGUAUUGGUCAUAAUUCAACUGUCAGAGAGAAGAAUCGCGAGGAGGUGAAAACGAACACGGUCGGAUUCAGCAAACUCGGCGCAGGUUCAACGAACCCCGUUUAAUUACACGGCUCCACACUGGCUGCGCCACACUGAAGCGAUACAGUCGCCGCGGAUCUUUCAGACGCCACGUUCUCUACUGAUUAGCAUGAUCAUCUUUAUUAAUUCGAGGACACGUUCCGCUGAACCUGUGGCUCGUUUCUCUCUAGGAGGGAAAUAGAGAGUUCCUGAGCCACGAAUCGAGAGAUUAUCCAAUUGCAAAAGCAGCAUGACCAGUCAACACAAUUAAUACAAUUAUAAACAUUGUAUCAUGUUUUUGAAUUGCCACAACUGCUGUAUUUUUGAGUUCAUAAUGGCUCCCAGGACUAAGUUCCAUGUCUUACAACAGCAUCGAUAAAUUAGAAAAUUACCACUAGGAACAACAACCAUCACCAUUACUAAUAAGCCAGUGAUAACAUCAAAAUCAAGGCGACAUCAGAGCAAACUUAUUCGGACAUUUCCGAGGGCUGAGGUCGUCACCGUCACCCGGCGUCGCUCUGUUAAUACAGGAAACCAUGUAAAUUCCAUUGGACGCAAUUGAAUUCGUCGAUGGAGCGUCACGUUUAUUCCGUGCUCGAGGGAUCAUUAACGAGCGUGACCUGAAAUUACAAAGCUCGCAAUCAUCGCCCUGGACCUGCGAUUUUCAACUGGUGGCCGAGAAAAUUUUGAAAAUAUUCUGUCAUGUCUCACUAUUUACUUAGGACCACUGACCUCUAUACUGCCGCUGUUUACCCAAUUUCAUAUCUUUAUGUUCUUAUGUUCACAUCUUAAUGUUCUAUUUCUUCAUAUCUUCUUUAUAGU